rnacentral:rRNA from 1 species
AUGAACGCUGGCGGCGUGCCUAAUACAUGCAAGUCGAGCGAACAGAUGAGGAGCUUGCUCCUCUGACGUUAGCGGCGGACGGGUGAGUAACACGUGGAUAACCUACCUAUAAGACUGGGAUAACUUCGGGAAACCGGAGCUAAUACCGGAUAAUAUAUUGAACCGCAUGGUUCAAUAGUGAAAGACGGUUUUGCUGUCACUUAUAGAUGGAUCCGCGCCGCAUUAGCUAGUUGGUAAGGUAACGGCUUACCAAGGCAACGAUGCGUAGCCGACCUGAGAGGGUGAUCGGCCACACUGGAACUGAGACACGGUCCAGACUCCUACGGGAGGCAGCAGUAGGGAAUUUUCCGCAAUGGGCGAAAGCCUGACGGAGCAACGCCGCGUGAGUGAUGAAGGUCUUCGGAUCGUAAAACUCUGUUAUUAGGGAAGAACAAAUGUGUAAGUAACUAUGCACGUCUUGACGGUACCUAAUCAGAAAGCCACGGCUAACUACGUG